GGCUCCAUCUCUGGUCCUGUAGGCUUCUGCCUUCAGCUUUCUGAAGGGAGCUGAACUAGAGAUUGGGCCCA
ensembl:miRNA